GCCGGGCUUGGUAACGCGAGCUUGUGACUCAAGUGAGGGCAUGAAAGUGGGCUGGACUGUGAUUGAGCCCAGUAUGGUUGGGUCAAGUUGUUGCAAUAUCUGGCCUGCCCGUUCCAAGUUUGGAGUUGUGUCAUGUGGUUCAGGCGAAGGCCUGGGCCAUGUGGCUCCUAGAGCUGAGGGCAAUGCGUUAGGCUGGUUUCACAGAGCUGCGAAAACUUCACGCUCUGAACAGUGGAAGGAUAACGGGUCGGUGCAUCGUUGGCCCAUAUAACCAUCUGGGUUCAUUCAAAUGAACUCCCACUUUUUU
rnacentral:SRP_RNA from 1 species